AUUUUUAGAGCAUCUUGUAUUAACAACAAUUACUGGAAUUCCAAUAAUUGGGUCCUACAUGAUGGGUUUUGGAUCAAGAAUCAUGAUUUAUUGUUAUAUUUUGGCAUUUGAUUUCCUUAGAUGCUUGGGACAUUCAAAUGUUGAAAUUGUUCCUAAUCGAUUGUUUCAGAUCUUCCCCUUCGUUAGAUAUCUCCUCUAUACACCAUCAUACCACAGUCUGCACCAUACAGAGAUGGACACCAACUUUUGCCUCUUUAUGCCUGUAUUUGAUGCGAUAUGGAAGACUCUUAACACCAAUUCUUGGGAACUCCACAACCAAAUGAGUUCAAAUAUUGCAGGGAAAAGAGAGAGAGUGCCUGAUUUCGUGUUCUUAGCCCAUGUGGUGGAUGUUACAUCUUCAAUGCAUGCACCAUUUGUUAACAGGGCGAUUGCCUCAUUGCCAUACACGACCAACCCCGUGUUGCUGCCAUUCUGGCCGGUGGCUUUUAUGGUGACGCUAACCAUGUGGGCUAGGGCUAAGACCUUCCUAAUAUCCUUCUACAAUCUAAGAGGCAGAUUGCAUGCAACAUGGGCUGUGCCUAGGUUCGGCUUCCAGUAUUUCCUGCCAUUUGCUCAAGAGGGCAUUAACAAGCACAUAGAAGAAGCCAUUCUUAGAGCUGAUAGAGAUGGGGUCAAGGUCAUUAGUCUUGCUGCUCUGAAUAAGAAUGAAGCUCUCAAUGGUGGUGGAACACUAUUUGUGAACAAGCAUCCAAAUCUUAGAGUGAGAGUGGUCCAUGGAAAUACGUUAACUGCUGCAGUAAUUCUGAAUGAAAUCCCUGAGGAUGUGAAAGAAGUGUUUCUAACAGGAGCUACUUCUAAACUUGGAAGAGCCAUUGCCCUCUAUCUUUGCCAAAGGAGAGUAAGAGUCCUUAUGUUGACUCUAUCAACAGAAAGAUUCCAAAAAAUUCAGAAGGAAGCUACCUUGGAUUGCCAAAGCUAUCUAGUCCAAGUCACUAAAUACCAGGCAGCUAGAAAUUGCAAGACUUGGAUUGUUGGCAAGUGGAUCACACCUAGACAGCAAUGGUGGGCUCCUAAAGGAACACAUUUCCAUCAAUUUGUUGUCCCACCAAUACUGUCCUUUAGAAGAGAUUGCACUUAUGGCGAUCUUGCAGCCAUGAAACUUCCCGAUGAUGUUCAGGGGCUUGGAAGUUGUGAGUAUACAAUGGACAGAGGAGUGGUCCAUGCAUGCCAUGCAGGAGGAGUGGUUCACCUGCUAGAAGGUUGGGAUCACCAUGAAGUUGGUGCUAUAGAUGUGGACAGAAUUGAUCUAGUUUGGAAUGCUGCUUUGAAGCAUGGAUUAAAGCCUGUAUCAAGACUCACCAAAUAAAAAUUGAUCAAUGUAAAAUGAAGCAGAUUACUUGUAGAAAAAAAAAAUUAAAGAAAAAAAGCUCUUUUUUGUUCUUAAUUUGCAUAUGAUGGAACAAGAAUGAAAUGGUUGAUCAAU
rnacentral:misc_RNA from 1 species